ensembl:snRNA U6 U6 spliceosomal RNA
GUGCUUGCUUUGGCAGCACAUAUACUGAAAUUGGAACUAUACAGAGAAGAUUAGCAUGGCCUCUGUGCAAGGAUGAUCUGCAAAUUCAUGAAGUAUUCCAUAUUUUU